GAUGAACGCUGGCGGCGUGCUUAACACAUGCAAGUCGAACGGAAAGGCCCUGCUCUUGCGCGGUGCUCGAGUGCCGAACGGGUGAGUAAAACGCGAGUAACCCGCCCCUGACAUAGGGAUAACACCCGGAAACAGGGGCUAAUACCGGAUAGGACCUCUUGCUGCACGGUGGGGGAUGGAAAGUGCCGGCGGUUGUGGAUGGACUCGCGGCUUAUCAGCUUGUUGGUGGGGUAGUGGCUUACGAAGGCUUUGACGGGUAGCCGGCCUUAGAGGGUGACCGGCCACAAUGGGACUGAGAUACGGCCCAGACUCCUACGGGAGGCAGCAGUGGGGAGUAUUGCGCAAUGGGCGGAAGCCUGAUGCAGCAACGCCGCGUGCGUGAUGCCGGCCUUCGGGUUGUAAACCGCUUUCGCCGGUGCCGAAGCGUGAGUGACGGUAAUGGGUAAAGAAGCACCGGCUAACUACGUG
rnacentral:rRNA from 1 species